UGUGUUCUCUUAGUGACUAUCCUGAGGGUAACAGGGAAUACUUGUCAAAUGACAUCUCUUUUACCCUUACUCUGGCAUAAAUAUUUACUCUACAGUUCAUAACACUUCUUAUAAUUAUGUCCUAAAGAAACAAAUGAUAUUUUGUCAUCCAAUUUUUUAAGAUAUUUAAAAACGUGUCGACUUCCUUCCUUAUCUAGAACAAAUAGCCCUGAAGGUACUAGAUUAAGCAAUGCCAUUCAUUUCCGACAAAGCUUUCAAAAGAAACCCAGCAUGAGACAGGAUGUGGAGAACAGACUCAUGGUGCUCACCAAACAACAGGCCCAAUUAAAAUCCUCAUACGGACACAAAUCAUCUGAGGAGAUGAUCAGGAGUUAUGUGCUGGGGAUCUGAAUAAAGGUCUUCAUGCUUGUGUGAACUAUCUCCUCAGCUCCAGGUUAGUUUCCUUGAGUGGCACAUUCAGUGUAUCACCUCAGACUGUUUCCCAUUUUCUUACAUUAUUUCAUGCCUGUUUACCUCGGUACAUAAUCUACUAAACAGCAGCAGAAGCCAUGUCUCCGGCACCACUGCAACCCACAACACCUAGUACGGAGUUCUACACAGGAGGAUGGAGAUUCUGGUGAAGAAAAUUUAUCUACCACGGUAAAGUAUCUACAUUAUUAAAUAAAUUCGGCCCUUCGAA